UCGCAUUUGUUCUCUAUUUUCUUCUCUUUCUGUGACACCAACUUCGACUUUGCCAUUAGCGUGGAUGUCUUCUCCUUGCGGGAAAGUUGUUCACUCCCUCCCCCUCUCUUGUUCGUCCGUUUCUCUCAGAUUGAUUGGCUGAAUCUACCCUUCAUUUCCUUGCUGUUUUGUGAUGACAGAGCAGAGCGAAGUCCUUCCCCUUUCCUUCUGCAGUGUCGUUUAGGUGCUGAUUAUGGUGAUGAUACUACUAUCUCGUUUGAGGAACACAAAGCUUUGGGGAAUUGGAGAGAUGGUGCAAGUUGGUUCUCCAUUUGUGGCUGAAAUACUGGCGAUUAGGAAAGAUAUUGCAAUAUUGAAUCAGCAGAAUGUGAAAGAUACUGAAACAGAAAUUGACUGUGCUGAUCUUUUCUGAUGCUGUAAAAAGAAAUCAACAAGAGGGGCUGAUUGGAAGGGCAGGUAGGAUAUCAAGAAAGUUUAAGAUGUGUUUAGCCAAAUGCUCUGGGUUUGUUAUUACUCUUUCAUCUAGAGAGGGUAAUGAAGCAACUGAUUGGAUAGCUGUGUCUUGUAAAAAGGGAUUGUGUCCUUUUGGAUAAUUUUGUCAUAAACACCCCAUUUGGUUAAUAUUUUGACCAAUGAUUUGAGGCUUUUGUCUUCUUUUUUGUUAAAAGAAGGCAGGUUGGAGAUGGAGAGAAGUGGCGUACGUUAAAGUGGUGUUGUUGCUGCAUGGAUGAUGACUGUUUUUGUGUUUUGUUUUCUACUAUUCCUGAUUUUUUUUUCCCUUCUGUUAGUUAUUUUGCUGUUCGUUUUGAUUAUGACUUUCUGUUCAAGUUUGUGUGUUUGCUUCUUGUUAUAUUGGA